UGGGCGUAAAGCGAGCGCAGACGGUUACUUAAGCAGGAUGUGAAAUCCCCGGGCUCAACCUGGGAACUGCGUUCUGAACUGGGUGACUAGAGUGUGUCAGAGGGAGGUAGAAUUCCACGUGUAGCAGUGAAAUGCGUAGAGAUGUGGAGGAAUACCGAUGGCGAAGGCAGCCUCCUGGGAUAACACUGACGUUCAUGCUCGAAAGCGUGGGUAGCAAACAGGAUUAGAUACCCUGGUAGUCCACGCCCUAAACGAUGUCAAUUAGCUGUUGGGCAACUUGAUUGCUUAGUAGCGUAGCUAACGCGUGAAAUUGAUCGCCUGGGGAGUACGGUCGCAAGAUUAAAACUCAAAGGAAUUGACGGGGACCCGCACAAGCGGUGGAUGAUGUGGAUUAAUUCGAUGCAACGCGAAGAACCUUACCUGGUCUUGACAUGUACGGAAUCCUCCAGAGACGGAGGAGUGCCUUCGGGAGCCGUAACACAGGUGCUGCAUGGCUGUCGUCAGCUCGUGUCGUGAG
rnacentral:rRNA from 1 species